rnacentral:rRNA from 1 species
UACGGAGGGUGCAAGCGUUAAUCGGAAUUACUGGGCGUAAAGCGCGCGUAGGCGGCUUGUUAAGUCAGAUGUGAAAGCCCCGGGCUCAACCUGGGAACUGCAUCUGAUACUGGCAGGCUAGAGUUUGUGAGAGGGAAGUGGAAUUUCCGGUGUAGCGGUGAAAUGCAUAGAGAUCGGAAGGAACAUCAGUGGCGAAGGCGACUUCCUGGCACAAAACUGACGCUGAGGUGCGAAAGCGUGGGUAGCAAACAGG